UUUCCGUAGGUGAACCUGCGGAAGGAUCAUUAAAGUUAUAGUCCCCCGGCCCUCUGGGCUGGGGUCUUCCAUACCACCCUUUGUUUAUUACACCUUUGUUGCUUUGGCAGGCCUGCCCUCGGGCUGCUGGCUCCGGCCGGCUCGCGUCUGCCAGAGGACCCAAACUCUGUUUGUAUAUGAAGUCUGAGUACUAUAUAAUAGUUAAAACUUUCAACAACGGAUCUCUUGGUUCUGACAUCGAUGAAGAACGCAGC
rnacentral:misc_RNA from 1 species